rnacentral:rRNA from 1 species
GACGAACGCUGGCGGCGUGCUUAACACAUGCAAGUCGAACGGAAAGGCCCUGCUUUUGUGGGGUGCUCGAGUGGCGAACGGGUGAGUAACACGUGAGUAACCUGCCCUUGACUUUGGGAUAACUUCAGGAAACUGGGGCUAAUACCGGAUAGGAGCUCCUGCUGCAUGGUGGGGGUUGGAAAGUUUCGGCGGUUGGGGAUGGACUCGCGGCUUAUCAGCUUGUUGGUGGGGUAGUGGCUUACCAAGGCUUUGACGGGUAGCCGGCCUGAGAGGGUGACCGGCCACAUUGGGACUGAGAUACGGCCCAGACUCCUACGGGAGGCAGCAGUGGGGAAUAUUGCACAAUGGGCGGAAGCCUGAUGCAGCAACGCCGCGUGCGGGAUGACGGCCUUCGGGCUGUAAACCGCUUUCGCCUGUGACGAAGCGUGAGUGACGGUAAUGGGUAAAGAAGCACCGGCUAACUACGUGCCAGCAGCCGCGGUGAUACGUAGGGUGCGAGCGUUGUCCGGAUUUAUUGGGCGUAAAGGGCUCGUAGGUGGUUGAUCGCGUCGGAAGUGUAAUCUUGGGGCUUAACCCUGAGCGUGCUUUCGAUACGGGUUGACUUGAGGAAGGUAGGGGAGAAUGGAAUUCCUGGUGGAGCGGUGGAAUGCGCAGAUAUCAGGAGGAACACCAGUGGCGAAGGCGGUUCUCUGGGCCUUUCCUGACGCUGAGGAGCGAAAGCGUGGGGAGCGAACAGGCUUAGAUACCCUGGUAGUCCACGCUGUAAACGGUGGGUACUAGGUGUGGGGUCCAUUCCACGGGUUCCGUGCCGUAGCUAACGCUUUAAGUACCCCGCCUGGGGAGUACGGCCGCAAGGCUAAAACUCAAAGGAAUUGACGGGGCCCCGCACAAGCGGCGGAGCAUGCGGAUUAAUUCGAUGCAACGCGUAGAACCUUACCUGGGUUUGACAUGGAUCGGGAGUGCUCAGAGAUGGGUGUGCCUCUUUUGGGGUCGGUUCACAGGUGGUGCAUGGCUGUCGUCAGCUCGUGUCGUGAGAUGUUGGGUUAAGUCCCGCAACGAGCGCAACCCUUGUUCACUGUUGCCAGCACGUUAUGGUGGGGACUCAGUGGAGACCGCCGGGGUCAACUCGGAGGAAGGUGGGGAUGACGUCAAGUCAUCAUGCCCCUUAUGUCCAGGGCUUCACGCAUGCUACAAUGGCUGGUACAGAGAGUGGCGAGCCUGUGAGGGUGAGCGAAUCUCGGAAAGCCGGUCUCGGUUCGGAUUGGGGUCUGCAACUCGACCUCAUGAAGUCGGAGUCGCUAGUAAUCGCAGAUCAGCAACGCUGCGGUGAAUACGUUCCCGGG